rnacentral:rRNA from 1 species
CGACGACCGGCGGACGGGUGAGUAACACGUAUGCAANUUGCCUUUAACUGGAGGAUAGCUUCGGGAAACCGUAAUUAAUACUCCAUAGUAUUCAAAAGACGCAUGUAUUUUGAAUUANAGCUCCNGGCGGUUAAGAUAAGCAUGCGGGACAUUAGCUAGUUGGUAAGGUAACGGCUUACCAAGGCGACGAUGUCUAGGGGGUAUGAGAGGAUGAUCCCCCACACUGGUACUGAGACACGGACCAGACUCCUACGGGAGGCAGCAGUGAGGGAAUAUUGGGCAAUGGGCGCAAGCCUGACCCAGCCAUGCCGCGUGCAGGAUGAAGGUCCUAUGGAUCGUAGACUGCUUUAGUAUGGGAAGAACUUCCCCGCAUUCGUGCGGGAUUGACGGUACUAUACGAAUAAGGACCGGCUAACUCCGUGCCAGCAGCCGCGGUAAUACGGAGGGUCCAAGCGUUAUCCGGAUUCACUGGGUUUACAGGGUGCGUAGGUGGAACGAUAAGUCGAUGGUGAAAGCCUACAGCUUAACUGUACAAUUGCCAUUGAUAC